UACGUAGGUGGCAAGCGUUGACCGGAUUUACUGGGCGUAAAGAGCGCGCAGGCGGUCGUUCAAGUCGCGUGUGAAAGCCCCCGGCUCAACUGGGGAGGGUCACGCGAUACUGAUCGACUCGAAGGCAGGAGAGGGUAGUGGAAUUCCCGGUGUAGUGGUGAAAUGCGUAGAUAUCGGGAGGAACACCAGUGGCGAAGGCGACUACCUGGCCUGUUUCUUGACGCUGAGGCGCGAAAGCUAGGGGAGCAAACGGG
rnacentral:rRNA from 1 species